rnacentral:rRNA from 1 species
AUUGAACGCUGGCGGCAUGCCUUACACAUGCAAGUCGAACGGUAACGGGCCUUCGGGUGCCGACGAGUGGCGAACGGGUGAGUAAUGCAUCGGAACGUACCUUUCAGUGGGGGAUAACGUAGCGAAAGUUACGCUAAUACCGCAUAUUCUGUGAGCAGGAAAGCAGGGGAUCGCAAGACCUUGCGCUGAUUGAGCGGCCGAUGUCAGAUUAGCUAGUUGGUGAGGUAAAGGCUCACCAAGGCGACGAUCUGUAGCGGGUCUGAGAGGAUGAUCCGCCACACUGGAACUGAGACACGGUCCAGACUCCUACGGGAGGCAGCAGUGGGGAAUUUUGGACAAUGGGGGCAACCCUGAUCCAGCCAUGCCGCGUGAGUGAAGAAGGCCUCGGUUGUAAGAC